rnacentral:rRNA from 1 species
AAAUCUUACCGGGUCCGGACACACUGAGGAUUGACAGGAAUUAUCGUGUUUUAAAAAUUUUCUUCGGAAUUUUUUUUUUUCACGUGUUAAAUAUGCUAGUCCUUUCAUGAUUAUGUGAUAGGUGGUGCAUGGCCGUUCUUAGUUCGUGGAGUGAUCUGUCUGCUUAAUUGCGUUUCACAACGAGCUUACACUAUAACGCAUUGUUUGUGAGGUAGUCUGACCCCUUGGCUUCGGCCACAGCGCGUGUCUUUCUGCCAUCAUCACAUCAUGCUUCGUAAAGCUCUGAAAGCAACGAACGUGACCGCAACCUCUUGUUGCCUGUAUUACAAACUGACGUCUCAUUUUUUAAAUGUGCGUUAUAUAAACAGGCCUUAUAUUAAUAAACUAGAGGGACCGCUGCUUUUUCCUUAAACCAGAGGAAGGUUGCGGCAAUAA